rnacentral:lncRNA from 1 species
CCUUGCUUGCGCGUUUCUUUUGUUAUCGCGUAGUGCUACGCUGGUUUUGCUGGCUUGCGAAACUCGCACAAACUGCAAGCAGCAGAAAAUUCGACUUCCAUGUGAUGUCGCGGGAUGCCCGAAUGGUCCACGCCACUUGACCAAAAGAAGCUGCAGUAACGAAUCCACCGCUCUGUCUU